CUUCAAGGUCGUGCACGCCUGAGCGUUCUCACACAAUCCAUCUCACCCCUUUUGUGCAUCACCGCGUGGGUCCCCCUUUACGGGAGGGCUCGCGUUUUCACAUAAACUUGAUACAGUCUAGAAUGUUUAUUUUUGCGGUCACACGCAAUCAAUACAACUUUCAACAACGGAUCUCUUGGCUCUCGCAUCGAUGAAGAACGCAGCGAAAUGCGAUACGUAAUGUGAAUUGCAGAAUUCAGUGAAUCAUCGAAUCUUUGAACGCACCUUGCGCCCCUUGGCAUUCCGAGGGGCACACCCGUUUGAGUGUCGUGAAAUCCUCAAAACCCUUUUCUUUGAUCCCUUUGGGUCGGGAAUAGGAGUUUUGGACUUGGAGGUUCAAUGCUUGCUUUCAUUUUUGAAAGCGAGCUCCUCUCAAAUGAAUUAGUGGGGUCCGCUUUGCCGAUCCUUGACGUGAUAAGUUGUUUCUACGUUUUGGAUUCGGCACGGUUUCCUGGAUGUCCGCUGCUAACUGUCUCAUGGACAAUGAUGGUGUUCUGGUCGUCGCCACUUAAGUUGGCGGGAGGCUGGGCCCACAAAAAAAAACCUUGA
rnacentral:rRNA from 1 species